UCUCCUGGAAAACGGGUGGUAAUGCCGGAUGUUCCACAUGAUCGCAUGUGAUUGUGGGAAAGAUUCUAUCGGCGUGGGAUGGGGUCGCGUCCUAUCAGCUUGUUGGUGAGGUAACGGCUCACCAAGGCUUCGACGGGUAGCCGGCCUGAGAGGGCGACCGGCCACAUUGGGACUGAGAUACGGCCCAGACUCCUACGGGAGGCAGCAGUGGGGAAUAUUGCACAAUGGGCGCAAGCCUGAUGCAGCGACGCCGCGUGAGGGAUGGAGGCCUUCGGGUUGUAAACCUCUUUUGUUUGGGAGCAAGCCUUCGGGUGAGUGUACCUUUCGAAUAAGCGCCGGCUAACUACGUGCCAGCAGCCGCGGUAAUACGUAGGGCGCAAGCGUUAUCCGGAUUUAUUGGGCGUAAAGGGCUCGUAGGCGGCUCGUCGCGUCCGGUGUGAAAGUCCAUCGCUUAACGGUGGAUCUGCGCCGGGUACGGGCGGGCUGGAGUGCGGUAGGGGAGACUGGAAUUCCCGGUGUAACGGUGGAAUGUGUAGAUAUCGGAAAAGAACACCA
rnacentral:rRNA from 1 species